GAUGAACGCUGGCGGCGUGCUUAACACAUGCAAGUCGAACGAAGCACUUAUCUUUGAUUCUUCGGAUGAAGAGGUUUGUGACUGAGUGGCGGACGGGUGAGUAACGCGUGGGUAACCUGCCUCAUACGGGGGGAUAACAGUUAGAAAUGACUGCUAAUACCGCAUAAGACCACGGAGCUGCAUGGCUCAGUGGGAAAAACUCCGGUGGUAUGAGAUGGACCCGCGUCUGAUUAGGUAGUUGGUGGGGUAACGGCCUACCAAGCCAACGAUCAGUAGCCGACCUGAGAGGGUGACCGGCCACAUUGGGACUGAGACACGGCCCAAACUCCUACGGGAGGCAGCAGUGGGGAAUAUUGCACAAUGGGGGAAACCCUGAUGCAGCGACGCCGCGUGAGCGAAGAAGUAUUUCGGUAUGUAAAGCUCUAUCAGCAGGGAAGAAAAUGACGGUACCUGACUAAGAAGCACCGGCUAAAUACGUGCCAGCAGCCGCGGUAAUACGUAUGGUGCAAGCGUUAUCCGGAUUUACUGGGUGUAAAGGGAGCGUAGACGGCUGUGUAAGUCUGAAGUGAAAGCCCGGGGCUCAACCCCGGGACUGCUUUGGAAACUAUGCAGCUAGAGUGUCGGAGAGGUAAGUGGAAUUCCCAGUGUAGCGGUGAAAUGCGUAGAUAUUGGGAGGAACACCAGUGGCGAAGGCGGCUUACUGGACGAUGACUGACGUUGAGGCUCGAAAGCGUGGGGAGCAAACAGGAUUAGAUACCCUGGUAGUCCACGCCGUAAACGAUGACUACUAGGUGUCGGGGAGCAAAGCUCUUCGGUGCCGCAGCAAACGCAAUAAGUAGUCCACCUGGGGAGUACGUUCGCAAGAAUGAAACUCAAAGGAAUUGACGGGGGACCCGCACAAGCGGUGGAGCAUGUGGUUUAAUUCGAAGCAACGCGAAGAACCUUACCUGCUCUUGACAUCCCGGUGACCGGCAUGUAAUGAUGCCUUUUCUUCGGAACACCGGUGACAGGUGGUGCAUGGUUGUCGUCAGCUCGUGUCGUGAGAUGUUGGGUUAAGUCCCGCAACGAGCGCAACCCUUAUCUUCAGUAGCCAGCAAUUCGGAUGGGCACCCUGGAGAGACUGCCAGGGAUAACCUGGAGGAAGGUGGGGAUGACGUCAAAUCAUCAUGCCCCUUAUGAGCAGGGCUACACACGUGCUACAAUGGCGUAAACAAAGGGAAGCGAGCCUGCGAGGGUAAGCAAAUCUCAAAAAUAACGUCUCAGUUCGGAUUGUAGUCUGCAACUCGACUACAUGAAGCUGGAAUCGCUAGUAAUCGCGAAUCAGCAUGUCGCGGUGAAUACGUUCCCGGGUCUUGCACU
rnacentral:rRNA from 1 species